GACGAACGCUGGCGGCGUGCUUAACACAUGCAAGUCGAACGGAAAGGCCCUGCUUUUGUGGGGUGCUCGAGUGGCGAACGGGUGAGUAACACGUGAGUAACCUGCCCUUGACUUUGGGAUAACUUCAGGAAACUGGGGCUAAUACCGGAUAGGAGCUCCUGCUGCAUGGUGUGGGUUGGAAAGUUUCGGCGGUUGGGGAUGGACUCGCGGCUUAUCAGCUUGUUGGUGGGGUAGUGGCUUACCAAGGCUUUGACGGGUAGCCGGCCUGAGAGGGUGACCGGCCACAUUGGGACUGAGAUACGGCCCAGACUCCUACGGGAGGCAGCAGUGGGGAAUAUUGCACAAUGGGCGGAAGCCUGAUGCAGCAACGCCGCGUGCGGGAUGACGGCCUUCGGGUUGUAAACCGCUUUCGCAUGUGACGAAGCGUGAGUGACGGUAAUGGGUAAAGAAGCACCGGCUAACUACGUG
rnacentral:rRNA from 1 species